AUAUAGGUCAACAUUGCUUUUUCAGUAGGGAUAUAUUACUAUAAAGAAAUUAAUGGUACAUAGGUUUCCCUUCAAGUCAAACAUCUUGU
rnacentral:pre_miRNA from 1 species